ACUCAAAUGAAUAGACGGGGGCCCGCACAAGCAGCGGAGCGUGUGGUUUAAUUCGAUGCAACGCGAAGAACCUUACCUGGGCUUGACAUGCUGGUGGUAGGAGGGUGAAAGCCCGACGACCCGCAAGGGAGCCAGUGCAGGUGCUGCAUGGCUGUCGUCAGCUCGUGUCGUGAGAUGUUGGGUUAAGUCCCGCAACGAGCGCAACCCUUGUCGCCUGUUUUAGAUGUCAGGCGAGACUGCCCGUGCAAGCGGGAGGAAGGUGGGGAUGACGUCAAGUCAGCAUGGCCUAUAUGCUCAGGGCGACACACACGCUACAAUGGUAGGGACAAUGGGAGGCAAGACCGCAAGGUGGAGCAAAUCCUCAAACCCUGCCUCAGUUCGGAUUGGGGGCUGCAACUCGCCCCCAUGAAGGCGGAGUUGCUAGUAACCGCGCGUCAGCCAUAGUGCGGUGAAUACGUUCCCGGGCCUUGUACACACCGCCCGU
rnacentral:rRNA from 1 species